GAGAAGAGCAACAGCAAACAAACCACAAGUGAGACAGAAUAUUAAGCCUUUUCUCGCGAGGAGAACGAUAGAGAGGAAACUCGGUUACAAUCUCCAUCAAUUCUGAGUUCUCCCUCCACGUGCUCCUCUAUUUAAUGUUUUGGUUGCCCUGGUUACAGAGGCGUUGCUACACUAAAGGGAGGGGCGAUUGUGUCUGUAGCAACGCUGAUUAGCUAAGGAAUGUAGUGUGGUGUGAAUUAGCACUUCAUUGUCGGCCCGUGACCCCUGCAGAGUUUGUCCAUCUGUUCUUCUACGCCAAAGCGUCAGAAAUGCAAACGAUAGCGAGAAAAACGAGAACCGGUGUGUUGCGCAAACCGGCUGUGGUAAGACGACUUGAAGUAAGCUACAUUCGAUUAUCAACAAAUGAGAUGAGAUGACAGGACACUCCACUCGUGCAAUCAUUUACUAUGGUCACUGCAGUCUUCAUCAUCAUCAUCAUCAUUGUCCAUGUCCUUUUGACACUUUUUGCCUUUUUCUUUGCUACCGUUGUCCUCUUCUUUUUGGUCCAGAUGAGAGUUGACUCUAUAAUAGUGGAGGAGAAAAUAUCAUCAGCAUCAGAGUCAGAGUCAGAGGUCAACUAGUAACUUGAGAGCAUGAGCUCCCAAACUGUAGUAGGUUCCAACAGGGUGUAAAUGUGUGUGUGAGAUGACAUAAUUACACAGUUAUGUUGUUUCCUAUUUGGCCCAAACCAAAUAGAAACGGUUCAAAUUUCUGACUCAAAACCACAACUUUUAUCUGCUAUAUUACGCCCUCUACUGUCAAAACAAAGUAACUUGUGUGAGGUAACUCAGCCACAGGAUGGCAGUCUCCUCAAACAUCCAUCCAUCCAUCCAUUUUCUGUACCGCUUAGUCCCCACUGGGGUCGCGGGCGUGCUGGAGCCUAUCCCAGCCGUCAUCGGGCAGUAGGCGGGGGACACCCUGAACCGGUUGCCAGCCAAUCGCAGGGCACACAGAGACAAACAACCACUUGCACUCGCACUCACACCUAGGGACAAUCUGGAGUGUUCAAUCGGCCUACCAAGCAUGUCUUUGGGAUGUGGGAGGAAACCGGAGUGCCCGGAGAAAACCCACGCGGGCCCGGGGAGAACAUGCAAACUCCACACAGGGAGGGCCGGAGGUGGAAUCGAACCCGCACCCUCCUAACCGUGAGGCGGACGUGCUACCCAAGUGCGCCACCGAGCCGCCCCUCCUCAAACAAUAAAAUGCUAAUCAAGAAUAAAUGAUUAAAUCCUUCUGUUGUAAGAAA